rnacentral:rRNA from 1 species
CCUACGGGAGGCAGCAGUAGGGAAUUUUGCGCAAUGGGGGAAACCCUGACGCAGCAACGCCGCGUGAAUGAUGAAGCCCUUAGGGGUGUAAAGUUCUGUCACCGGGGACGAAAGAUGACGGUACCCGGAGAGGAAGCACCGGCUAACUCCGUGCCAGCAGCCGCGGUAAU